rnacentral:rRNA from 1 species
UACAGAGGGGGCGAGCGUUGUUCGGAAUUACUGGGCGUAAAGGGCGCGUAGGCGGACUGCUAAGUCGAACGUGAAAUCCCUGGGCUCAACCCAGGAACUGCGUCCGAUACUGGUUGGCUUGAAUCCGGGAGAGGGAUGUGGAAUUCCAGGUGUAGCGGUGAAAUGCGUAGAUAUCUGGAGGAACACCGGUGGCGAAGGCGACAUCCUGGACCGGUAUUGACGCUGAGGCGCGAAAGCCAGGGGAGCAAACGGG